AUACUAUUUCCUCCGUCCGAAAAUACUUGUCCUAGAGAUGAAUGUAUCUAGACUUAUUUUAGUUAUAGAUACAUUCAUUACAUUCAUUUUUGGGGACAAGUAUUUCCGGACGGAGGGAGUACUUU
rnacentral:pre_miRNA from 1 species